rnacentral:rRNA from 1 species
ACGGGUGAGUAACGCGUGGGAAUCUACCCAUCUCUACGGAACAACUCCGGGAAACUGGAGCUAAUACCGUAUACGUCCUUUUGGAGAAAGAUUUAUCGGAGAUGGAUGAGCCCGCGUUGGAUUAGCUAGUUGGUGGGGUAAUGGCCUACCAAGGCGACGAUCCAUAGCUGGUCUGAGAGGAUGAUCAGCCACACUGGGACUGAGACACGGCCCAGACUCCUACGGGAGGCAGCAGUGGGGAAUAUUGGGCAAUGGGCGCAAGCCUGAUCCAGCCAUGCCGCGUGAGUGAUGAAGGCCCUAGGGUUGUAAAGCUCUUUCAACGGUGAAGAUAAUGACGGUAACCGUAGAAGAAGCCCCGGCUAACUUCGUGCCAGCAGCCGCGGUAAUACGAAGGGGGCUAGCGUUGUUCGGAAUUACUGGGCGUAAAGCGCACGUAGGCGGAUUGUUAAGUUAGGGGUGAAAUCCCAGGGCUCAACCCUGGAACUGCCUUUAAUACUGGCAAUCUCGAGUCCGAGAGAGGUGAGUGGAAUUCCGAGUGUAGAGGUGAAAUUCGUAGA